UUGCUUAGUUCUUAUACUACAGUUCCAGUGGCAACAUGGCCUUUAAAAUACAUUGAGAGGAAGUUGCGGCUAACUUCACGCUUCACGCGGCUUGACGCUUCCGUUUCCAUUAUUCAACAUGGCGCUCCUGAACAAGUCUGCCUGCAUGAGUAAAGUUUCUUUUAAUCGGCAUAAUAAUUGUACUUUGUUGUGUUUGUUGACCUGAAUUGUUACAAUGAGAGCUAAAGAAGCACUUGCUCGUCAUUUACGGUUUAAUAGCGAUAGUUUGGACGUUGCCGGUGUUCUUUGUUUCCCAGAAUUCCUAAGCCAGACCUGAAGUAAUACAAGGACGACUAAAUGUCGCGUUAUUUA